AUAAAUCUUCAGGGUAGGGUGAAAUCCCCAAUCGGCGGUAUAGUCCGCGAGCGCGCAAGCGCAGGUGCGAGAGCACAGGACUUGGUGAAAUUCCAAGACCGACAGUAAAGUCUGGAUGAAAGAGGAUUUUG
rfam:Ethanoligenens harbinense YTAN-3, complete genome.